rnacentral:rRNA from 1 species
CCGGGGUGCUCGAGUGGCGAACGGGUGAGUAACACGUGGGUGAUCUGCCCUGCACUUCGGGAUAAGCUUGGGAAACUGGGUCUAAUACCGGAUAGGACCAUCGUUUAGUGUCGGUGGUGGAAAGUUUUUUCGGUGUGGGAUGAGCUCGCGGCCUAUCAGCUUGUUGGUGGGGUAAUGGCCUACCAAGGCGUCGACGGGUAGCCGGCCUGAGAGGGUGUACGGCCACAUUGGGACUGAGAUACGGCCCAG